GGGCACAGGGCAGGGUCCUGCAACACAGACUGAGGCAGGGGGCAAAGGGCAGGGUCCUGCAACACAGACUGAAGGAGGGGGCACAGGGCAGGGUCCUGCAACACAGACUGAGCUGAGGCAGGGGGCACAGGGCAGGGAGCUGCUGUUCAUCUGCCUGUCAUGAAGAACUCAGCCGAUGGCACCCUGGACUGUUGGCUCACUGGAAGUACAUCGUUCCCUGAGCUCCUGUUGAAGUUGUCAGCUGUGCAUCCCUGUACAAGCCUUGCUGCGCCUGGGCCCUCUCCUCAUGGGGACUGCAAGCUUCAGGACUGGACAACAGGCCUGUUGAAAUUACCUGACCUUUGACCUCUAACCAUGGUCUCUUACUUUACCUUGGUCUUGACCCAGAAGGGUCCCUCUGCCUGCACUGCUUGUUGCAGCUCACAAGAAAUGGACCUGAUAUUAUAUUAAAUAUCAUUGUAAAAUCUUUCUUGAUACAGAUUGUAUGUCAAAUGUUUAUACCGUACCUGUAUGCCAUAUAAAAUAAUGCAGUAAAUAAAAAGUGAUUUGA